AGCGUGAAGAUAAGACAUUAACUGCAGAAGAAGCCCCGGCUAACUUCGUGCCAGCAGCCGCGGUAAUACGAAGGGGGCUAGCGUUGUUCGGAAUCACUGGGCGUAAAGAGUACGUAGGCGGACUGAUAAGUUAGGGGUGAAAUCCCAAGGCUCAACCUUGGAACUGCCUUUGAUACUGUCAGUCUUGAGAUCGAGAGAGGUGAGUGGAACUCCGAGUGUAGAGGUGAAAUUCGUAGAUAUUCGGAAGAACACCAGUGGCGAAGGCGGCUCACUGGCUCGAUACUGACGCUGAGGUACGAAAGCGUGGGGAGCAAACAGGAUUAAUACCCUGGUAGUCCACGCCGUAAACGAUGAAUGCUUUUCAGGUAGCUUGCUAUUUGGUGACGCAGCUAACGCAUAAGCAUCCGCCUGGG
rnacentral:rRNA from 1 species